AUUGAACGCUGGCGGCAGGCCUAACACAUGCAAGUCGAGCGAGCGGCGGACGGGUGAGGAAUGUAUGGGGAUCUGCCCGCUAGAGGGGGAUAAAUACGGGAAACUGUAGCUAAUACCGCGUAACAGCGGAGGGGCCAAAGUGGGAUAAGGGAGUUGGUGCGGUAAAGGCUCACCAAGCCGACGAUUUCUAGCUGGUCUGAGAGGAUGACCAGCCACACUGGGACGUAGACACGGCCCAUACUCCUACGGGAGGCAGCAGUGGGGAAUAUUGCGCAAUGGGGGCAACCUGACGCAGCCAUGCCGCGGGAAUGAAGAAGGCCUUCGGGUUGUAAAGUUCUUUCUGUAGCGAGGCGUUACCUACAGAAGAUGCACCGGCUAACUCCGUGCCAGCAGCCGCGGUAAUUC
rnacentral:rRNA from 1 species